rnacentral:rRNA from 1 species
GACGUAGGGCGCGAGCGUUGUCCGGAUUUAUUGGGCGUAAAGAGCUCGUAGGCGGCUUGUCGCGUCGUCCGUGAAAACCUGGGGCUCAACCCCAGGCUUGCGGGCGAUACGGGCAGGCUCGAGUUCGGUAGGGGAGACUGGAAUUCCUGGUGUAGCGGUGAAAUGCGCAGAUAUCAGGAGGAACACCGGUGGCGAAGGCGGGUCUCUGGGCCGAUACUGACGCUGAGGAGCGAAAGCGUGGGGAGCGAACAGG